rnacentral:rRNA from 1 species
AUUGAACGCUGGCGGCAGGCCUAACACAUGCAAGUCGAGCGGAUGAGUGGAGCUUGCUCCAUGAUUCAGCGGCGGACGGGUGAGUAAUGCCUAGGAAUCUGCCUGGUAGUGGGGGACAACGUUUCGAAAGGAACGCUAAUACCGCAUACGUCCUACGGGAGAAAGUGGGGGAUCUUCGGACCUCACGCUAUCAGAUGAGCCUAGGUCGGGUUAGCUAGUUGGUGAGGUAAAGGCUCACCAAGGCGACGAUCCGUAACUGGUCUGAGAGGAUGAUCAGUCAGACUGGAACUGAGACACGGUCCAGACUCCUACGGGGGGAAGCAGUGGGGAAUAUUGGACAAUGGGCGAAAGCCUGAUCCAGCCAUGCCGCGUGUGUGAAGAAGGUCUUCGGAUUGUAAAGCACUUUAAGUUGGGAGGAAGGGCAGUAAGUUAAUACCUUGCUGUUUUGACGUUACCAACAGAAUAAGCACCGGCUAACUUCGUGCCAGCAGCCGCCGUAA